rnacentral:rRNA from 1 species
GAGUUUGAUCCUGGCUCAGAGUGAACGCUGGCGGCAGGCCUAACACAUGCAAGUCGAACGGCAGCGCAGCAGCUUGCUCCCUGGGUGGCGAGUGGCGGACGGGUGAGGAAUACAUGGGAAUCUACCCUGUCGUGGGGGAUAACGUAGGGAAACUUACGCUAAUACCGCAUACGACCGAGAGGUGAAAGCGGCGGACCGCAAGGCGUCGCGCGACUGGAUGAGCCCAUGUCGGAUUAGCUAGUUGGCGGGGUAAAGGCCCACCGAGGCGACGAUCCGUAGCUGGUCUGAGAGGACGACCAGCCACACUGGGACUGAGACACGGCCCAGACUCCUACGGGAGGCAGCAGUGGGGAAUUUUGGACAAUGGGCGCAAGCCUGAUCCAGCAAUGCCGCGUGCAGGAAGAAGGCCUUCGGGUUGUAAACUGCUUUUGUACGGAACGAAACGGUCCUGGUUAAUACCCGGGGCUAAUGACGGUACCGUAAGAAUAAGCACCGGCUAACUUCGUGCCAGCAGCCGCGGUAAUA